AUUGAACGCUGGCGGCAUGCUUUACACAUGCAAGUCGAACGGCAGCGCGGGCUUCGGCCUGGCGGCGAGUGGCGAACGGGUGAGUAAUACAUCGGAACGUGCCCAGUAGUGGGGGAUAGCUCGGCGAACGCCGGAUUAAUACCGCAUACGACCUGAGGGUGAAAGCGGGGGAUCUUCGGACCUCGCGCUAUUGGAGCGGCCGAUGGCAGAUUAGCUAGUUGGUGGGGUAAAGGCCUACCAAGGCGACGAUCUGUAGCUGGUCUGAGAGGACGACCAGCCACACGGGGACUGAGACACGGCCAAGACUCCUACGGGAGGCAGCAGUGGGGAAUUUUGGACAAUGGGCGAAAGCCUGAUCCAGCAAUGCCGCGUGUGGGAUGAAGGCCUUCGGGUUGUAAAGCACUUUUGGCGGGAACGAAAAGGACUGUGCCAAUACCACGGUUCGAUGACGGUACCCGCAGAAUAAGCACCGGCUAACUACGUG
rnacentral:rRNA from 1 species